CCUACGGGUGGCAGCAGUAGGGAAUCUUCCACAAUGGGCGCAAGCCUGAUGGAGCAACACCGCGUGAGUGAAGAAGGGUUUCGGCUCGUAAAGCUCUGUUGUUGGAGAAGAACGUGCGUGAGAGUAACUGUUCACGCAGUGACGGUAUCCAACCAGAAAGUCACGGCUAACUACGUGCCAGCAGCCGCGGUAAUACGUAGGUGGCAAUCGUUAUCCGGAUUUAUUGGGCGUAAAGCGAGCGCGGGCGGUCGCUUAGGUCUGAUGUGAAGGCCGUGGGCUUAACCGAAGAAGUGCAUCGGAAACCGGGCGACUUGAGUGCACAAGAGGUAUGUGGAACUCCAGGUGUAGCGGUGGAAUGCGUAGAUAUAUGGAAGAACACCAGUGGCGAAGGCGGCUGUCUGGUCUGCAACUGACGCUGAGGCUCGAAAGCAUGGGUAGCGAACAGGAUUAGAUACCCUUGUAGUC
rnacentral:rRNA from 1 species